UUCAACUUGGCCAAGUGAGAGAUGAUGGACUUCAACUUUGGAUCCAUCCUACAAACACAAAUAUUAUUUGAAUCAAGAAAAAUAUAGUGGCAAAAAAGCAAAAAUUUGCCAAGAACAUGAAGAACAUUCAAACUUUCAAAAGUUUAAAAGAUGAGAUUCCAAUGGCCACCAUUCAUCAAAAUCACAACAAUAUCAACUGGAAAAGAGUUUAACAUACUUGAAAACUCACAAAAUAACGGAUUUGGUGAUGAUUCGAAUGGUUUUUGGCCUAUCAAAUGGUGAAUCUAGGAAGCAAGGUUUAAGUUUGGUGGGAGAAAGUUUCUAAGAGCAAUGGCAAUAGAGUUUUGAGUAUGGAGAAAUGUUUGGAGCCAAAUUGGUAUUUAUAAUGCCUAGGUUUUCUAACGGAUAUGAAGUUCAAAGGUCUCUCAAGAAUUGAUUAGGGUAUCUCCCUAAACAUCAAUUUAACUCAAGCACCAUAAAUUGCUACAAUAAAGUAUGAAGUUGAAACAUCUGGAGAAAGCUAAAAAGUCGUAAGAAUUUUGAUUCACUUACCCUUUCACCAAUUGAAGGCCAAGAAAUCAAGAGGACAAUGUUUGGAUGUGGUCACCAAAUUCCAGCCAAGUCAAGGAGACCAAAUUCCAAGAGGCCUAGCCAAGUAAGAAAAUGCAACAAACAAAUGGCAAUAAAUAAAUAAAAUUCAACUAGCUGGGAUAAAGGAUCAGCCAAGUGAAAAAUCAAAUUGAAACUUUCACCAGUCUAUUUCAACAAGUGGCUAGAUCUACUUGCAAAAAUUGGGCUGGCCGGGUUCUCUCUUCCUAGCAGAUGCAAGGCCAAGUUAAUCAGACUUUCCUUGCAGAAGGAUGCGGCUAGUAAGGUUCAUGGCUGGUUUGGAAUUGGCUGGAUAAGGCAAUGGCUGGAGUCUUCUACUGUGGUUUUGGAAUUUAGUUGGUUGGAGGUGUGCGAUGACAAAGGUUGG
rnacentral:lncRNA from 1 species